ensembl:lncRNA
GCAGGAAGUCCAGGGACCCCACGGUGGGCUGCUGCUCAGUAGGAAGGGGGCAGGAUCACUGGAGGAGGAGGCAAGAAUGGAUAGAAAGCUCUGUGGUUCGGCUCUCGUGGGGGCCGAGAGGAGCCAGGCAGGGACCAGGGGGCAGUUUCCUCGUCCCGCCUGCCUGGCAAGAGGGACAGUGUAGUCAUGGCGACCUUCAUAGCAAUGGUCCAGAGUUCCCUCCAUCAGUGCUGUGAGGAUGUGGGAAGGAAGGGUAUGUGUGGGGGUCAGAGGGGGAGCUCAAGGUAGGAAGGCAGGCGAGAUGAAGGGCCAGGGGCUGGGGGAGCGAAGGGUCGGGGCCUGAGCCCUCCCCCAACCCCAUAAUUCCUGGUCCUCCCCCUUCCCCACCUGCCCUAGUCUCAUCCCUGGAAACCAAAUUCAUUUCACUCCCUGUCUAUCCGGAGAUUGGCCUUCAGGGUCAUCGACACGUGGAGUGGCGGGCGUGGGGGGCGGUGACGGGCCAGUGUGGGUGCAUCAGGGGCACCGAGUGUGCCUCCUGGUGCAGGGGGCUGCAGGUGGGAAGGCUGACAGUUUGGGGGCAGGGGCCACGUGGGAACAAGACCCUACCGUGAGGAUGAGCCGGGAGCGGAAGGGGGUUGAGAGUGGGCUUGCUCAUAACCCCGACCACACCAGUGCUUAAUCGGCUUUAUUUUAAGAGCAGUUUUAGGCUCAUGGCAUAAUGGAGCAGAAAAUACAGAGAUUUCCAAGAUUCCAGAUGCCCCACGCCCACGCUCACUUCCCUCACCGUCAGCGCCCCCUCCCCUUCACGUGCUCAUCCGUUCAGAACAUUAAGCCCUGUUUCACUUGCUGCACUUGGUGAGCCGCUUCUAACAAGUCGACAGCGAUGGAAGGGAGAUGCGUGGCUCCCUAGACCAGAUUGCCGAGGGCGACCCAGCCUCCUCUGCCUUGACCUUGCUCAUGGGGAUCUUGCUCAGGGGAAAAGUGCUGUGAGGGCACUUAGCCCCGUGGCCGGAUCCAUGGGCAAAGAAACCAAGGCCUCCAGCCAAGAGCUCCGUGAGUGAGUCGAACUGAUGGACCCGGUGGAGCUGGCAGUUGACCAGUCCCAGCCAACGGCUCAGGAGAAGCUCUGAGCUGGGAUCCCCCUGCCAAGCUGCUCCCAGAUUCCUGCCCCUUGGACACUGGGUCAUGUAUGGAGGCGAAAGUUGGAUUGUGAAGAAAGCUGAGCACCGAAGAAUUGAUGCUUUUGAACUGUGGUGUUGGAGAAGACUCUUGGGAGUCCCUUGGACUGCAAGGAGAUCCAACCAGUCCAUUCUGAAGGAGAUCAGCCCUGGGAUUUCUUUGGAAGGAAUGAUGCUAAAGCUGAAACUCCAGUACUUUGGCCACCUCAUGCGAAGAGUUGACUCAUUGGAAAAGACUCUGAUGCUGGGAGGGAUUGGGGGAAGGAGGAGAAGUGGAUGACAGAGGAUGAGAUGGCUGGAUGGCAUCACUGACUCAAUGGACAUGAGUCUGCGUGAACUCUGGGAGUUGGUGAUGGGCAGGGAGGCCUGGUGUGCUGCGAUUCAUGGGGUCACAAAGAGUCAGACACGACUGAGCAACUGAGCUGAACUGAACUGAAUCAAGGUUUACUCCCUGGAGCUGAAGAUGAGGUUGGUCUUUCCUGACACCAUGACCUUGCAGUGGAGGCUGAGGACUUAAAUACAAUCUGAAUCUUAUUACAAGGAAGAAUAAGGCAAAUUGUCUAGUGACUAAGGGUUCUUCUGUCAUUUACUGUGAUGGAAACCCAGUGAUCUGUCUUCUAAAAACUUGUCAAAGUCUCCCAUCCAUCGACGCCCCCUCCUGUGUCCUUUGUCUUUGUGGGUCUAUGGCAUUUCAUUCCUUUAUCACCAUUUUAAUAGGGUUUAUGAAGGGAAAGGUGAAAAAUGAGUGGUCAGUCUCUCUUCCUGUUUGGAAGCCCCCAGCCAAUGUUUCUCAGACUGGGAGCUGUAGAGACUCAGUCUGUACAGCCUAUAGUGAGUGAGCUAUGACUAGCGUUUUAACAAAUGAAAGAGCGUAGAAAAUGCCAGAUGGUGUGUAUUGCACAGAGUGAGAUUAAAUAUUGUUUCAGUUGAGUAUGCCUGUGUUGUGUGUGCUGGGAAGAGAUGUGAAACAUGUUUCUCCCUACAAGUUGCCCACAAAACUAUUUGGAAAGCAUUAAAGAAGGGGCUUCCCAGAUGGCUCAGUGGUAAAGAACCUGCCUGCCAAUGGCUGAAGAUGCAGGUUUGAUCCCUG